rnacentral:rRNA from 1 species
AGUGGGGAAUAUUGGACAAUGGGGGAAACCCUGAUCCAGCCAUGCCGCGUGUGUGAAGAAGGCCUUAGGGUUGUAAAGCACUUUUAGUAGGGAGGAAGGCCCGGUAGUUAAUACCUGCCGGGAUUGACGUUACCUACAGAAAAAGCACCGGCUAAUUUCGUGCCAGCAGCCGCGGUAAUACGAAAGGUGCAAGCGUUAAUCGGAAUUACUGGGCGUAAAGCGCGCGUAGGCGGCUUGGUAAGUUGGAUGUGAAAGCCCCGGGCUCAACCUGGGAACUGCAUCCAAAACUGCCAGGCUAGAGUAUGGUAGAGGAUGGCGGAAUUUCCUGUGUAGCGGUGAAAUGCGUAGAUAUAGGAAGGAACAUCAGUGGCGAAGGCGGCCAUCUGGACCAAUACUGACGCUGAGGUGCGGAAGCGUGGGGAGCAAACAGGAUUAGAUACCCUGGUAGUCCACGCCGUAAACGAUGAGAACUAGCCGUUGGACAUCUUGCAUGUUUAGUGGCGCAGCUAACGCGAUAAGUUCUCCGCCUGGGGAGUACGGCCGCAAGGUUA